rnacentral:rRNA from 1 species
UACGUAGGGACCAAGCGUUGUUCGGAUUUACUGGGCGUAAAGGGCGCGUAGGCGGCGCGGUAAGUCACUUGUGAAAUCUCCUGGCUCAACUGGGAGCUUGCAGGCGAAACUGCCGUGCUGGAGUGUGGGAGAGGUGCGUGGAAUUCCUGGUGUAGCGGUGAAAUGCGUAGAUAUCAGGAGGAACACCUGUGGCGAAAGCGGCGCACUGGACCACAACUGACGCUGAGGCGCGAAAGCUAGGGGAGCAAACAGG